rnacentral:tRNA from 3 species
GCCCCCUUAACUCAGCUGGCCAGAGUGCCUCACUUGUAAUGAGGAAGUCUGCGGUUCGAAUCCGCAAGGGGGCC